AUUGAACGCUGGCGGCAGGCCUAACACAUGCAAGUCGAGCGGGAACUUCGGUUCUAGCGGCGGACGGGUGAGUAAUGCGUAGGAAGCUACCCGAUAGAGGGGGAUACCAGUUGGAAACGACUGUUAAUACCGCAUAAUGUCUACGGACCAAAGUGUGGGACCUUCGGGCCACAUGCUAUCGGAUGCGCCUACGUGGGAUUAGCUAGUUGGUGAGGUAAUGGCUCACCAAGGCGACGAUCCCUAGCUGGUUUGAGAGGAUGAUCAGCCACACUGGAACUGAGACACGGCCCAGACUCCUACGGGAGGCAGCAGUGGGGAAUAUUGGACAAUGGGCGCAAGCCUGAUCCAGCCAUGCCGCGUGUGUGAAGAAGGCCUUCGGGUUGUAAAGCACUUUCAGCGAGGAGGAAGGGUUGUGUGUUAAUAGUACACAGCCUUGACGUUACUCGCAGAAGAAGCACCGGCUAACUCUGUGCCAGCCGCCGCCGUAAAAC
rnacentral:rRNA from 1 species